AGGAAACUAUGAUGCUAAAGACAAGAACUUGAGGAAGACACGAUCCUGGCUGGGUCAGAAAAGGGGAUGCCGUUAGUAAGGAGCAGAAGACGUUCGUUAGGAAGCAGACCAGGCGCAGUGGGGAGCAAAGACGGCAUGCCAAAGGGACGGAAAGCGGCCAAGGCAUGGGGGCAGGGGUAGGAGCACUGGGGGCGCAAGGACGUGAACUGGAGGCGACAGACAGGAGUGUGGGAGUCGCAGAACCGGGAGAGCUGCCCGCCCUCGCUCACUUGGCCCCGCACGUUGAAGCCGUAGCCGGACUCGGACUUGACGAUGCGCACGACCCGCGGGCCGCCGCCUCCCCCGCUGCCGUUCCCGGCGCAGUGGAGCCCGGACCCGCCGCCGCCGCCGCCGCCGCCGCCGCCGUUCCUGUGAGGGGCUGAGGGGUGAAUCCCUUCCCCGUCCUCGUCCGCCAUCUUGCGAGCAAUCGAGCCGUACCCCCGCCCCCCUACGCCUCCACUCCCUCCCAGCGCGCGCUCGCCCUCCUCAGCAGCCGCGCGACCCUCGGCGCGCGCGCCCGAACCACCGGCCGCGGGACCGAGACGGCCACGGAGCUGCCGGCGGGGUGAAGGGGAGCAGGGGGCGGGGGAAAGCGGAAGGUUGUGCACCGCGAGGCCUCACGGGAAAUGUAGUUUCCGGCCGCGGGGGCGGGGCGAGGCUGGGCCCGGCCUGGGCGGAGCUCUAGGGCGCACGCUCGGGAGCAAGGCCUGCUGGGAGUUGUGGUUUCUCCCCUGGGGUCUGUGAGGAGAUCCACGUGCUGCCUAGUGAGCCUCCAGCCUAACGCCGAGCCUGGCCAGGUUUUGGUCCGCUGGCUUAGGGCAAGGUUCUGUUUUUGUUUCGUCCUUUCAUUUCAUAGCCUCCAAAAACAUUAAUUGGCUAAGGUCGGAGCCCAGAGGAGAGACGUGGAGUUUGUGCGUGGCCUGCACGAGGACUGGAGUGGAUCCCCAGCCCCGUGGGGGCGACGGGAGAAGGGACAAAAGGAAGAGAGAAAGAAAGAAACCCAACGGGGUUCGUAGUAGGUGAUGUUUGUGAUUCAACACGAACCUAACUUGCUUGGUAACUCGUGUUCGUUUUAUUCCACGACCCAGAACCACCUUGUGAGACAGCUGGAUCUGAAUUCGUUUCCCUGUUUCACUCAUGAGGAAACUGAAGCUCAGUGUCCAAGGAAACCGGAUGUUGAGUAACCGGAAGCAAGGCCUAGCUGUGUUUGCACAACUGUCCGAACAGUGUAAGAGCUGCACCAACUAAACCAAAAACGUGGAAGGAAACAGCUCUAACUGGGUGUUAGAGCGGUCCAGUAAUGACUUCAAUUGUGCAAUGGUUUUGAAGUUACCUUUAUUUUAAAUUCAUUGUGUUUUCCCCAGCAGAACAAUAGAAUUCUUUACAAAUGGUGGCAAUUGGUGGCUUUGGCUGCCUACCAAAAGACAAACUUACAGAUGUUGUGCAAAGUGCCUGGUGAAGAGAAGUAAAAAGAGUGAGAGUAAAAAAUGGUGAAAAUAAGCUUAUUUAAGCCAUUAUUACUCCAGUCUGACAAUUGAUUUCAUCCUACUGAUAAGUGAAGAAAUAGCUUCCCCGAUCGACCAACCAAAAAAGACCCAGCAAAGCAUAGCAGCUUGUCAAAGGUCACAGAGCAGAACAGUGGUCAGAAUUCAGCCCUGAGAAGACAGAUGACUUAAAAGAGGCAAGGAAGCAUUCCAUUACCUGUGGCGUCACCGGGCGAGGAGAACAAAGGACCCUGCCCUCAUUCCCUCCUCUUUCUUCACUACUUGUCUAUACUUGCUCCACGAAGACCACAUGAUAAAUUAUAUUUUUGGUAAAUGGAGUAACUGACUCUCACAGGAAAACCUAGAGACGAGAAGGUUUACUAGUCAAGAAUAGAUUAGUUGCAAACGAUAGAAAUCAACUAAAUCCUCAAUUCAAACUAACUUAAGCGAAAAAGAGUAUGUACAUGUUCACAGAGCUAAGGAGGACACAAACCACCCCAAAACCUAACGGCAAAACCAUCAUUUUAUGUUUACAGCCUCUGGGUCAGAAGUUCAGAUAGGACUCAGUGGGGAUGGUUGUCUCUGCUCUGUGAGCCUCUCUGAAGAACUCAGAGCCUCAGGGUGACCUGGCGACUGGAGUCUGAUUUCAUUUGGAAACACAUAUGGUGGCUGAGGCUGGCUGCUGGCUGGAACCUCUUCUCGGCCUGUGGUCUGCCCCCACCCAUGGCUUCUCCACAUGGCUACUCAGCUUCAAGCGCAUGGCGAGGACCCAAGGAAGAAACCAGUAGUGCAUGUGGCAUCUUUAUAACCUGACCUCAGAAGUCAUAUAGCAUAUGGUUUUGGCCCAAGUGGUCACAGAACGUGGCCUAGGUGCCAGGGCAGAGGACUUAACACCAUCCUCCAGUGGAAGGAGCAUUACAGCAUGUGAAAUGAGAUAUAUCAUGAGAUGAGAUGUAUAUUUUCCACUUUUGGGAAAUAGAAUCGUCCACACUGGGGUAAUUCAUAGCAAGUGCUGCAAGAACCAGGCCUUGGGGUUGGACACAGGGAGCUCAGGGAGACUUCUCUCUUUUCAUCUGCCUCUCAGUUUUACUCAUCUCUGUUUCUCUUAUAGGAAAAAGAGCCACCACCCCCCUUAUGUUUCUCAGCAUAUGUAUAGUUUCCCAGAGAAGGACUUUGAAUGGCCCUUACUUGAUCAAUUAAGGCCCUCCACUUGGAUCAAUUAACGGUACCUGAACAGCUCUGAUUAUCCACACCUGGAUCACAUGCUCAGGUCACAUACCUACGAAGAAAGCUUAUUGGGCAGACUGUAAAGAACAGCUAGUGCAAUGAAGUGCACACCUGUAAUCCCAGCAGCUCAGGAAGCUGAGGCAGGAGGAUCACAAGUUCAAGACCAGUCGAGACAUUUACUGAGGUUCUAAGCAACUUAGCAAAACCCUGACUCAAACUAAAAAGGGCUGAGAAUGUAACUCAGUGGUAAGCACCCCUAGGUUCAAUCCACGGUUACAAAAAAAAAAAAAAUAGAAUAUAAUAGAAACGAGCUAGAACAGUCUACCACAGGUUUAACUUCAGUAAGCCUCUCUGUCAGCUUGGGGUGCGACCAUAAUUAGGCUAGUUCUCUACCACCCUUCUGUUAGCUGUACUGUUUCCGAGUCUUACCUGAUGAUCAUAUCAUGCACUAUCUUCUACGUGGCCACACACCAUGACUCUGAGAUUUUUGGAUUUCCCUUCAGAGGGAAAAGUUCCUGGACCUGACAGCCACCCUGGCCUGCUUUUCUCUACCAUUCCCUCUCGCCACACCUGACUACCAUGUUUCAAAGAGUCGACAUUCCUAAGUAGUCACUUUUCACCAUCCUUGUAGGCAGUUGUCACUCUGCUAGCUUCCCAGUAACUCCCCAUUUGCCCCCCUCACAAUCAAACUCAACUUUUCAAGGGCCCUUUAUUCCCUGGAAAUUACCUUCCAGAGCCAACAGUUGAGAAAUAACACAAUACAUCAAGAGAUCGCAUGACCAAAAAAAAAAAAAAAAAAAAAAACAG